rnacentral:rRNA from 1 species
UACGUAGGGUGCAAGCGUUAAUCGGAAUUACUGGGCGUAAAGCGUGCGCAGGCGGUUCUAUAAGACAGAUGUGAAAUCCCCGGGCUCAACCUGGGAACUGCAUUUGUGACUGUAGAGCUGGAGUACGGUAGAGGGGGAUGGAAUUCCGCGUGUAGCAGUGAAAUGCGUAGAGAUGUGGAGGAAUACCGAUGGCGAAGGCAGCCCCCUGGGCCAAUACUGACGCUCAUGCACGAAAGCGUGGGGAGCAAACAGG